GAGCUUGCGGGAGCUUGCUCCCAAAAGUUAGCGGCGGACGGGUGAGUAACACGUGGGCAACCUGCCUGUAAGACUGGGAUAACUUCGGGAAACCGGAGCUAAUACCGGAUAAUUCUUAUCAACACAUGUUGGUAAGCUGAAAGUCGGUUUCGGCUGACACUUACAGAUGGGCCCGCGGCGCAAUAGCUAGUUGGUGAGGUAACGGCUCACCAAGGCAACGAUGCGUAGCCGACCUGAGAGGGUGAUCGGCCACACUGGGACUGAGACACGGCCCAGACUCCUACGGGAGGCAGCAGUAGGGAAUCUUCCACAAUGGACGAAAGUCUGAUGGAGCAACGCCGCGUGAGCGAUGAAGGCCUUCGGGUCGUAAAGCUCUGUUGUUAGGGAAGAACAAGUAUCGGAGUAACUGCCGGUACCUUGACGGUACCUAACCAGAAAGCCACGGCUAACUACGUGCCAGCAGCCGCGGUAAUACGUAGGUGGCAAGCGUUGUCCGGAAUUAUUGGGCGUAAAGCGCGCGCAGGCGGUCCUUUAAGUCUGAUGUGAAAGCCCACGGCUCAACCGUGGAGGGUCAUUGGAAACUGGGGGACUUGAGUGCAGAAGAGGAAAGCGGAAUUCCACGUGUAGCGGUGAAAUGCGUAGAGAUGUGGAGGAACACCAGUGGCGAAGGCGGCUUUCUGGUCUGUAACUGACGCUGAGGCGCGAAAGCGU
rnacentral:rRNA from 2 species